rnacentral:rRNA from 1 species
CGCCUGGGGAGUGCGGCCGCAAGGUUAAAACUCAAAUGAAUUGACGGGGGCCCGCACAAGCGGUGGAGCAUGUGGUUUAAUUCGACGCAACGCGAAGAACCUUACCUGGCCUUGACAUGCAGAGAACUUUCCAGAGAUGGAUUGGUGCCUUCGGGAACUCUGACACAGGUGCUGCAUGGCCGUCGUCAGCUCGUGUCGUGAGAUGUUGGGUUAAGUCCCGUAACGAGCGCAACCCCUAUCCCUAGUUGCUAGCAGUUCGGCUGAGAACUCUAGGGAGACUGCCGGUGACAAACCGGAGGAAGGUGGGGAUGACGUCAGGUCAUCAUGGCCCUUACGGCCAGGGCUACACACGUGCUACAAUGGUGCGCACAGAGGGCUGCAAACCCGCGAGGGGGAGCCAAUCUCACAAAACGCAUCGUAGUCCGGAUCGCAGUCUGCAACUCGACUGCGUGAAGUCGGAAUCGCUAGUAAUCGUGAAUCAGAAUGUCACGGUGAAUACGUUCCCGGGCCUUGUACACACCGCCCGUCACACCAUGGGAGUGGAUUGCACCAGAAGUGGUUAGUCUAACCUUCGGGAGGACGAUCACCACGGUGUGGUUCAUGACUGGGGUGAAGUCGUAACAAGUAACCGUA